rnacentral:rRNA from 1 species
CAGUCGCCGCGGGAAAACGGAGGGUGCAAGCGUUAUCCGGAUUCACUGGGUUUAAAGGGUGCGUAGGCGGAUCUGUAAGUCAGUGGUGAAAUCUCCGGGCUUAACCUGGAAACUGCCGUUGAUACUAUAGGUCUUGAAUUUUGUGGAGGUUAGCGGAAUAUGUCAUGUAGCGGUGAAAUGCAUAGAUAUGACAUAGAACACCAAUUGCGAAGGCAGCUGGCUACACAACUAUUGACGCUGAGGCACGAAAGCGUGGGGAUCAAACAGGAUUAGAUACCCCCGUAGUCCCUGUCUCUUAUAC